GUAAUUACAAGCAUUAUCUAUAAGAGAAAGAGAGGAGAAGGAGGAGGGUCAGGAACAGGGAAGGAGUUAUGUUGUCUGAUGGAAGGAGAGAAGAGAGGGGAGAGAGUGAAGAAGGGGGCCACAGGACAAGGAAUAUAGGCAGCUUCUGGAAACUGGAAACAGGUAUAAAAUCAUGAGGGGGAUUUAAAGUGGUCUCUGCUCAGACCAGGAAGGCAGUGGUCGGAUUCCUUCAAGGGAAUUUACAUAAAGAUAUCCUGGAGACAAAACAGUAAAACAUGAAAACUGGAGGCUCAUGGCCUAGACUUCCUGGCAUGGUACUUCCUGGUACGACUGGUCUGUGGUAGUAUCAACUCGACAAGAUGUGUCCACAGCAGGGAGCAGAGGUUUUUCCAACUUGAGUGUGGAUCCACAACACCUGAAGCCUUGUUGAAGUUAGAGUGCUACCCCCAUCCCUCAAGUCUGUUGAUUAGGUCUCGAGGCAGUGGGCAAUCAGGUGAUGCUGAUGCUGUAGGUGCAGGAUGCACACCUGGA